rnacentral:RNase_P_RNA from 1 species
CAGAUAACCGCUCCCGUUUCAAUGCACGGGGGAGGAACUUCCGGACUCCGCACGGCAAUGCGCCACCCGAAAGGGUGGGCGGAUAGGAUUUGCGCCUGUCCGACGGAAAGUGCCGCAGAAAACAAACCGCCCGCAAGGGUAAGGGUGAAAAGGUGCGGUAAGAGCGCACCGCGCGUUUGGUAACAAACGCGGCAAGGUAAACCCCGCAUGGAGCAAGGCCAAGCCGGUUCACACGCUGCCCGCGUUCGUAACCAAGUAGGCCGCUUAGAGUAAUGGUUAUCCGGCCCGCAAGGGCUGACAGAAUCUGGGGUACGGGCCAUCU